rnacentral:rRNA from 1 species
UACGUAGGGUCCGAGCGUUGUCCGGAAUUCCUGGGCGUAAAGAGCUCGUAGGUGGUUUGUCACGUUGUUCGUGAAAACCCACAGCUCAACUGUGGGCGUGCGAGCGAUACGGGCAGACUAGAGUACUGCAGGGGAGACCGGAAUUCCUGGUGUAGCGGUGGAAUGCGCAGAUAUCAGGAGGAACACCGGUGGCGAAGGCGGGUCUCUGGGCAGUAACUGACGCUGAGGAGCGAAAGCGUGGGGAGCGAACAGG